UUUCAAACGCCGAGCUCAGUCAGACGCGGCUUCCGAGAACAGCUCACCAGAGCAUCGCGUCUAAUCGAUUUUAGUUUGUGUUUCUACUUGAGAAUGGACUUAGAAGGAGGGAAUUAUGAGCCUGGGUUCGUUGGCAUCCGGUUUUGUCAAGAAUGCAACAACAUGCUGUACCCCAAGGAAGACAAGGAGAACCGGAUCUUGCUGUAUGCCUGCAGGAACUGUGACUACCAGCAGGAGGCAGACAACAGCUGCAUCUACGUCAACAAGAUCACCCACGAGGUUGAUGAGUUGACACAAAUCAUCGCUGAUGUGUCGCAGGACCCGACAUUACCCCGAACAGAAGACCAUCCCUGUCCAAAGUGCGGUCACAAGGAGGCAGUGUUCUUCCAGUCACACAGUAUGAAGGCCGAGGACGCCAUGAGACUCUACUACGUCUGCACAGCGCCACACUGUGGCCACAGAUGGACAGAAUAGAGUGCCAGUCCAGCUCCAUUGAACUGACUUCUUCAUCAGGAGAGAUUCUGUGGUUUUUACAGAGGAAGCCCAUUCUUGUGGAGAUGUGAUAACUGUCAAGUCGUCUUCAUUUUCAUGUUUGUGGAUGAACUGUUUUGUGUCUCUGUCAGUUUUGUUUCAUGGCUUUUAUUGCAGCUUUCAAUUGUACUAUAACAGGUUUGUCUUUAAAUCAGUGAACAAGAAAAACAAGUCUGUCUUCUUUGAACCAAUCUCUGUUUUGCUCAUUUCAUUUGUCUUGGUCAUUUUGUCAAACCCUUUUCCUUAAAGUGUCCAAUAAAUUCUUCCUUCUUUCACAAUUCACUUCAGUAUUGAGCUGCAGCGUUAAACACAUGUGGUGUUGGAACCUGACAAACAACUUCAGGCCUUUUCUUGACUGUUUUCUCCAAAAUUCUGGGCAUUUUGCAACAACAACAACACAGAUAUUAAAGGUGCUCAUGGCCUGCGGUUCAACAACGUCUGGUAUAUUCUGUGGACUGUGUGGCAGCGAGUCUUCUCAGCCCACUCCAGAACCGGGCCGGCUGGCAGAACUCCAUCCGACACAA